ensembl:lncRNA
GAAACUACAAUAUCCAUCAGAAAAGUCCAAAGAGAUUCAGAUGACUGAUAGUAAACGUGAACCUGCGAGAGAAUCCCCUCCCCGACAUUCAGACAAUUCCAAAUCUCCAGAUGCUCGCGAAUGUGACAGUGGCAGAGCCGACAAAGUCGAGGACGGUCCCGGUCAAGCGGUCAGCGAGACGCCGACUGACCCGAAGGUCUCGGCCCGGGUUCGGAGAGAAGCGCAUGCUGUCAGCACGCUGCCCGAUGGAGGCGAGCGCCGAGCCGCUGGGAGGGAACCAACGGGCAAAGUAUGCAGCGGCCUUCUUGUCUAUCCACCGGAACUGGGUGGACGUCCCCGGGACCCGUGCGUCCCCGGCGGUCUGCUCGGCUCCGCCCGGGCGAACGCUUGGGACCGUUGCGCCGCCGCGCCGGGUCGACGGACAAGGCUGCCGGCUCCUUGUAGGACUCCGGGGUUCCCCGUCGGCCUUCGCCCGCACACGCCGCUACAGGACAUGGUGAGCCUCUCCCCGUUCGGAGGCUUUCUGUUUUAUCCCUACUCCAGCUUCUCUGCAGCGUCGGCCCAGUAUUUCGUCCCGCCGCCGUCGGCCACAGUGGAUUACAGAGCCUAUCCGGGCGUCCACAGCCCGAACUGCUUCCCCUCUCCCACGAUGCCUUCCUCUCUUCCUGCUCCAGGUGGAUUGAAAUAUCUCGGCCCAGAGUUCUUACCGCUACGGGAAACCGACCAGAAUGACUCGGCGGAAGAAGCUGAAGUUGAUUGA